GCGUAGUCGAUGGGAAACAGGUUAAUAUUCCUGUACUUGGUGUUACUGCGAAGGGGGGACGGAGAAGGCUAUGUUGGCCGGGCGACGGUUGUCCCGGUUUAAGCGUGUAGGCUGGUUUUCCAGGCAAAUCCGGAAAAUCAAGGCUGAGGCGUGAUGACGAGGCACUACGGUGCUGAAGCAACAAAUGCCCUGCUUCCAGGAAAAGCCUCUAAGCAUCAGGUAACAUCAAAUCGUACCCCAAACCGACACAGGUGGUCAGGUAGAGAAUACCAAGGCGCUUGAGAGAACUCGGGUGAAGGAACUAGGCAAAAUGGUGCCGUAACUUCGGGAGAAGGCACGCUGAUAUGUAGGUGAAGUCCCUCGCGGAUGGAGCUGAAAUCAGUCGAAGAUACCAGCUGGCUGCAACUGUUUAUUAAAAACACAGCACUGUGCAAACACGAAAGUGGACGUAUACGGUGUGACGCCUGCCCGGUGCCGGAAGGUUAAUUGAUGGGGUCAGCGCAAGCGAAGCUCUUGAUCGAAGCCCCGGUAAACGGCGGCCGUAACUAUAACGGUCCUAAGGUAGCGAAAUUCCUUGUCGGGUAAGUUCCGACCUGCACGAAUGGCGUAAUGAUGGCCAGGCUGUCUCCACCCGAGACUCAGUGAAAUUGAACUCGCUGUGAAGAUGCAGUGUACCCGCGGCAAGACGGAAAGACCCCGUGAACCUUUACUAUAGCUUGACACUGAACAUUGAGCCUUGAUGUGUAGGAUAGGUGGGAGGCUUAGAAGUGUGGACGCCAGUCUGCAUGGAGCCGACCUUGAAAUACCACCCUUUAAUGUUUGAUGUUCUAACGUUGACCCGUAAUCCGGGUUGCGGACAGUGUCUGGUGGGUAGUUUGACUGGGGCGGUCUCCUCCUAAAGAGUAACGGAGGAGCACGAAGGUUGGCUAAUCCUGGUCGGACAUCAGGAGGUUAGUGCAAUGGCAUAAGCCAGCUUGACUGCGAGCGUGACGGCGCGAGCAGGUGCGAAAGCAGGUCAUAGUGAUCCGGUGGUUCUGAAUGGAAGGGCCAUCGCUCAACGGAUAAAAGGUACUCCGGGGAUAACAGGCUGAUACCGCCCAAGAGUUCAUAUCGACGGCGGUGUUUGGCACCUCGAUGUCGGCUCAUCACAUCCUGGGGCUGAAGUAGGUCCCAAGGGUAUGGCUGUUCGCCAUUUAAAGUGGUACGCGAGCUGGGUUUAGAACGUCGUGAGACAGUUCGGUCCCUAUCUGCCGUGGGCGCUGGAGAACUGAGGGGGGCUGCUCCUAGUACGAGAGGACCGGAGUGGACGCAUCACUGGUGUUCGGGUUGUCAUGCCAAUGGCACUGCCCGGUAGCUAAAUGCGGAAGAGAUAAGUGCUGAAAGCAUCUAAGCACGAAACUUGCC
rnacentral:rRNA from 1 species